rnacentral:rRNA from 1 species
GAUGAACGCUAGCGGCAGGCUUAAUACAUGCAAGUCGAGGGGCAGCAUGAUUGUAGCAAUACAAUUGAUGGCGACCGGCAAACGGGUGCGGAACACGUACACAACCUUCCGAUAAGUGGGGAAUAGCCCAGAGAAAUUUGGAUUAAUACCCCGUAACAUAACGAUGUGGCAUCACAUUGUUAUUAUAGAUUUUUCGCUUAUUGAUGGGUGUGCGGCUGAUUAGAUAGUUGGCGGGGUAACGGCCCACCAAGUCUACGAUCAGUAGCUGAUGUGAGAGCAUGAUCAGCCACACGGGAACUGAGACACGGGCCCGACUCCUACGAGAGGCAGCAGUAAGGAAUAUUGGACAAUGGACGCAAGUCUGAUCCAGCCAUGCCGCGUGAAGGAUUAAGGUACUCUGGAUUGUAAACUUCUUUUAUAAGGGACGAAAAAAGGCUUUUCUAAGUCGUCUGACGGUACCUUAUGAAUAAGCACCGGCUAACUCCGUGCCAGCCGCCGCCGUAACAC